GUCGAAACAGAGGUUAAAAGUUUUAGAUUUUCGUCGUUUUUUUAUAUAAAUGAACCUAUUCAAAGAAGUCACUGCAUACCUCUGGAGCAGCUGAAAGAGAGUCCAUCAGUCCUGAGCCAGCUCACAAUCAAUGAUGCCUGUGCCACCAUCCAUCCUCCUGUGCCUCGCUGCUGCCUACGCCAGACCCAACCAAUGUUGAAGUCAUCAAUCCUCAGGAGCCAUCUUUCACCACUGUGCCGAUUCUCUUCCUCCGCACUGCUGCCUGUGCCAGACCAACCAACAUCAGUGUCAUGUCUCUCUCCAUUGGGCCGAGCUCACUGAUGUUGCACUGAUACCAUUCCACCUUCUGUCAUCACUUCACCGCCACCAGCGCCGGACCCAACCAAUGACAAAGUUAUCGAUUCUCAGGUACCAUCUUCCACCGCUGGGGCUGACUCACUGACAACACCUCCACUAAUGCAACAGCCACUGAUUCCAAUGCAAGUUCCUGUGGUGACUCUAGAAAAAUCAGUCAUGCCUCUACAAUCAUCUCUCCUUCAGAAACGAGGAACACCAAGGAAUAGAAUAGAUAGAGGACAGAAUUGCCUCUUUUGGAUUUGAUUUAUUAUUUCCUGGCUGAGUAGGGAAUGUCUGAAUCAAACUGUAUGGGAUCAGCCAGAUGGAUUUUCCUGCCGAACUUGUACACCCAGUUGCAAAACAGAGCUAAUCAGAAGUAAUCUUUUGACCUGGAUAACCUGAACUGAGAUACAUGUAUAACAACAAACUGCUUUGGUCUGGAGAAAACUAACUUGAUUUAUGUCUAAUGGAGAUACAUUAAAACAUAAGU